UACGUAGGGUGCAAGCGUUAAUCGGAAUUACUGGGCGUAAAGCGUGCGCAGGCGGUUUUGUAAGUCUGUCGUGAAAUCCCCGGGCUCAACCUGGGAACUGCAUUUGUGACUGCAUCGCUGGAGUGCGGCAGAGGGGGAUGGAAUUCCGCGUGUAGCAGUGAAAUGCGUAGAUAUGCGGAGGAACACCGAUGGCGAAGGCAAUCCCCUGGGCCUGCACUGACGCUCAUGCACGAAAGCGUGGGUAGCAAACAGG
rnacentral:rRNA from 1 species